UACGUAGGGGGCGAGCGUUGUCCGGAGUUACUGGGCGUAAAGCGCACGCAGGCGGUCUGCUAAGUUUGGAGUGACAGUUGGUGGCUUAACUGCCAAAGUGCUUCGAAAACUGACAGACUUGAGGGCUUCAGAGGGACACGGAAUUCCGGGUGGAGUGGUGAAAUGCGUAGGGAUCCGGAGGAACACCAAAGGCGAAGGCAGUGUCCUGGGGAGUACCUGACGCUCAGGUGCGAAAGCCAGGGGAGCGAACGGG
rnacentral:rRNA from 1 species